UAUAAUUGCGCCCCUGCAGGUGUCCGGCCUGUCAAUGACAAGGCCGGGUGAAACGGGAAGCCGGUGACAAUCCGGCGCUGCCCCCGCAACGGUAAGGCCUGAUCGCGCGCCGCGCGAUCCAGGAGCAACAACCGCCACUGUCCAUCAGGACGGGAAGGCGUUGCCCCGCAAGGCCGAGCCCGGAGACCGGCCUGCAAUGGACGCGGCGG
rnacentral:ncRNA from 2 species